rnacentral:rRNA from 1 species
UGGGGAAUAUUGGACAAUGGGCGCAAGCCUGAUCCAGCCAUGCCGCGUGGAUGAUGAAGGCCCUAGGGUUGUAAAGUCCUUUCGGCGGGGAAGAUAAUGACGGUACCCGCAGAAGAAGCCCCGGCUAACUUCGUGCCAGCAGCCGCGGUAAUACGAAGGGGGCUAGCGUUGCUCGGAAUCACUGGGCGUAAAGCGCACGUAGGCGGAUCUUUAAGUCAGGGGUGAAAUCCCGGAGCUCAACUCCGGAACUGCCUUUGAUACUGAGGAUCUUCGAGUUCGGGAGAGGUGAGUGGAACUGCGAGUGUAGAGGUGAAAUUCGUAGAUAUUCGCAAGAACACCAGUGGCGAAGGCGGCUCACUGGCCCGAUACUGACGCUGAGGUGCGAAAGCGUGGGGAGCAAACA